GACGAACGCUGGCGGCGUGCUUAACACAUGCAAGUCGAACGAAGAGCGAUGGAAGCUUGCUUCUAUCAAUCUUAGUGGCGAACGGGUGAGUAACGCGUAAUCAACCUGCCCUUCAGAGGGGGACAACAGUUGGAAACGACUGCUAAUACCGCAUACGAUCUAACCUUGGCAUCGAGGAUGGAUGAAAGGUGGCCUCUAUUUAUAAGCUAUCACUGAAGGAGGGGAUUGCGUCUGAUUAGCUAGUUGGAGGGGUAACGGCCCACCAAGGCGAUGAUCAGUAGCCGGUCUGAGAGGAUGAACGGCCACAUUGGGACUGAGACACGGCCCAGACUCCUACGGGAGGCAGCAGUGGGGAAUCUUCCGCAAUGGACGAAAGUCUGACGGAGCAACGCCGCGUGAGUGAUGACGGCCUUCGGGUUGUAAAGCUCUGUUAAUCGGGACGAAAGGCCUUCUUGCGAAUAGUUAGAAGGAUUGA
rnacentral:rRNA from 1 species